AGGACGAACGCUGGCGGCGUGCCUAACACAUGCAAGUGGAGCGACGAACCAGGCUUCGGCCUGGGGCAAAGCCGCGAACGGGUGAGUAACACGUGGGUAACCUGCCCCGAUGAUUGGAACAACCCGAGGAAACUCGGGCUAAUACCGAAUGUGCCCUCCGACCAUAAGGUCGCUGGGGAAAGGAAGCUUCGGCCUCCGCUUCGGGAGGGGCCCGCGGCCCAUUAGCUUGUUGGUGAGGUAACGGCUCACCAAGGCUGCGAUGGGUAGCUGGUCUGAGAGGACGAUCAGCCACACUGGGACUGAAACACGGUCCAGACUCCUACGGGAGGCAGCAGUGGGGAAUUUUGCGCAAUGGGGGAAACCCUGACGCAGCAACGCCGCGUGGAGGAUGAAGCCCCUUGGGGCGUAAACUCCUUUCGACCGGGACGAUAAUGACGGUACCGGUGGAAGAAGCACCGGCUAACUCUGUGCCAGCAGCCGC
rnacentral:rRNA from 1 species